GGCAGGGUGGUUUACUGGUUCGCACGUCUGCCUCACAUAUCUGGGGUUGGAGGUUCGAAUCCUGUCUCUGUCC